GGAGGGUUGGCCGAGUGGACGAAGGCGGCGGUCUUGAAAACCGUUAGGCGGGCAAACCCUGUCUCGGGGGUUCGAAUCCCUCACCCUCCG
rnacentral:tRNA from 1 species